rnacentral:lncRNA from 1 species
CCAACGUCCCACUCAGGACUAUACCUAAACGUGGAGGACAGAGCUCCGCCUUCGUCUCACCGAGUGCUUCUUGCUAUCAGCAGCUCCCGCACUUCCUCCCUUCACUCACUUCAGAGGGAAAAGAGGGAGUUUCCCCCUAUGCUUAAGGGACCAAGAAACAAGUUCGGAAGCUAUUUUUCUCAUCGUGGGACCAAAUAAAUACCCAACAAGAAGUGACUUACGGGAGAAAGUGUUUGUUUUGGCUCACUAUGGGAGCUGUCGCCCAUUACAAGGAGAAAGGGCGGCUGGCGACUGUGGCGGCUGGAGCUUGAGGCUGACCGUUCACAUCUUGGUAAACCAGGAGCCAGAGUGGGGCUGUAAACUGCAAGCUCUUAUCCUCAAGAUCUACUUCUUCCAGAACCAUUAAUCCUCCCUCACAAACGUUCCUAACCCUUCAGGUGAGCAGCAGGAAGUGGACCAAAUUGUUCAAACACAUGAGCCCAUCGUUUAAACCAUGCCAUUGAGGUCAGUCUGUCACUGGGUUAAAUAGUAAACUUGGCUCAGAGUUUUCACUAAAGAACACACUCGUCGUAAACUGUGUGUUAUUCUCUGCUGACUGGAACGCAUCUCAUCCACUCUGCCUACGUUUAUUUUUAUUUAUUUGAGACAAGGUCUUAUUGUAACCCUGUCUGACCUUGAAGGCCUGAUCCUCCUGCCUCUGCCACCUGAGUGCUGGGACUCCAGUGUGCACCACCGUGCCUGGUUUAUGUGGUGCUGGGGGUGAGACUCGUGGCUUCCUGCAUCCUGGACAAGUGCUUUGCUCACUGAGCAACAUCCCCAGAUCCCCUUGCCUGUAUUUAUGUUGUCUGACUCGCAAAUACCAUAGAGUUUUCACCUGUCUAGAGAGGCCAGAAUGUGACCCUUGGCUGCGUGCUCUGCUGUGUGUUGACCCUCCAGCGGCUCUUUCUCUUGGGGCGCUAUUAAAACAGGAUAGCUUCUGAUCAUAACUUUA